AGUGAACGCUGGCGGUAGGCCUAACACAUGCAAGUCGAACGGCAGCACAGUAAGAGCUUGCUCUUACGGGUGGCGAGUGGCGGACGGGUGAGGAAUACAUCGGAAUCUACUUUUUCGUGGGGGAUAACGUAGGGAAACUUACGCUAAUACCGCAUACGACCUACGGGUGAAAGCAGGGGAUCUUCGGACCUUGCGCGAUUGAAUGAGCCGAUGUCGGAUUAGCUAGUUGGCGGGGUAAAGGCCCACCAAGGCGACGAUCCGUAGCUGGUCUGAGAGGAUGAUCAGCCACACUGGAACUGAGACACGGUCCAGACUCCUACGGGAGGCAGCAGUGGGGAAUAUUGGACAAUGGGCGCAAGCCUGAUGCAGCCAUACCGCGUGGGUGAAGAAGGCCUUCGGGUUGUAAAGCUCUUUUGUUGGGAAAGAAAAGCAGCAGGUUAAUAUCCCGAUGUUCUGACGGUACCCAAAGAAUAAGCACCGGCUAACUUCGUG
rnacentral:rRNA from 1 species